rnacentral:rRNA from 1 species
UGAGGAAUAUUGGUCAAUGGACGAGAGUCUGAACCAGCCAAGUAGCGUGCAGGAUGACGGCCCUAUGGGUUGUAAACUGCUUUUGUUUGGGAAUAAUCGACAUUACGUGUAAUGUUUUGCAUGUACCAUUCGAAUAAGGACCGGCUAAUUCCGUGCCAGCAGCCGCGGUAAUACGGAAGGUCCAGGCGUUAUCCGGAUUUAUUGGGUUUAAAGGGAGUGUAGGCGGUUGGUUAAGCGUGUUGUGAAAUGUAGAUGCUCAACAUCUGACUUGCAGCGCGAACUGGCUGACUUGAGUACACACAACGUAGGCGGAAUUCAUGGUGUAGCGGUGAAAUGCUUAGAUAUCAUGAAGAACUCCGAUUGCGAAGGCAGCUUACGGGAGUGUUACUGACGCUUAAGCUCGAAGGUGCGGGUAUCGAACAAG